rnacentral:rRNA from 1 species
AUUGAACGCUGGCGGCAGGCCUAACACAUGCAAGUCGAGCGGAGCGGCGGACGGGUGAGUAAUGCCUAGGAAUCUGCCUGGUCGUGGGGGAUAACGUCCGGAAACGGGCGCUAAUACCGCAUACUAGCAGAUGAGCCUAGGUGGGAUUAGCUAGUUGGUGGGGUAAAGGCUUACCUAGGCGACGAUCCGUAGCUGGUCUGAGAGGAUGAUCAGUCACACUGGGACUGAGACACGGGCCAGACUCCUACGGGAGGCAGCAGUGGGGAAUAUUGCACAAUGGGCGCAAGCCUGAUGCAGCCAUGCCGCGUGUAUGAAGAAGGCCUUAGGGUUGUAAAGUACUUUAAGUCGGGAGGCGUUACCGACAGAAGAAGCACCGGCUAACUCCGUGCCAGCAGCCGCGGUAAUAC